rnacentral:rRNA from 1 species
ACGUAGGUGGCAAGCGUUGUCCGGAAUUACUGGGUGUAAAGGGAGGGCAGGCGGGGAGACAAGUUGGUUGUGAAAACUACGGGCUUAACCCAUAGAUUGCAGUCGAAACUGAUUAUCUUGAGUAGAGCAGAGGUUGGCGGAAUUCCGAGUGGAGUGGUGAAAUGCGUAGAGAUUCGGAGGAACACCAGAGGCGAAGGCGGCGUACUGGGCUCUAACUGACGCUGAGCCGCGAAAGUCUGGGAAGCGAACGG